UACGUAGGGCGCAAGCGUUGUCCGGAAUUAUUGGGCGUAAAGAGCUCGUAGGCGGUUUGUCGCGUCUGCUGUGAAAACCUAAGGCUCAACCUUGGGCUUGCAGUGGGUACGGGCAGACUAGAGUGCGGUAGGGGUGACUGGAAUUCCUGGUGUAGCGGUGGAAUGCGCAGAUAUCAGGAGGAACACCGAUGGCGAAGGCAGGUCACUGGGCCGCAAUUGACGCUGGAG
rnacentral:rRNA from 1 species